rnacentral:tRNA from 1 species
GCGGGUGUGGCGGAAUUGGCAGACGCACUAGACUUAGGAUCUCCAGCGCCGCAAGGCGUGGGGGUUCGACUCCCUUCACCCGCA